rnacentral:rRNA from 1 species
AGUUCUCGUUGAUGAUCGGUGCUUGCACCGAGAUUCAACAUGGAACGAGUGGCGGACGGGUGAGUAACACGUGGGUAACCUGCCCUUAAGUGGGGGAUAACAUUUGGAAACAGAUGCUAAUACCGCAUAGAUCCAAGAACCGCAUGGUUCUUGGCUGAAAGAUGGCGUAAGCUAUCGCUUUUGGAUGGACCCGCGGCGUAUUAGCUAGUUGGUGAGGUAAUGGCUCACCAAGGCGAUGAUACGUAGCCGAACUGAGAGGUUGAUCGGCCACAUUGGGACUGAGACACGGCCCAAACUCCUACGGGAGGCAGCAGUAGGGAAUCUUCCACAAUGGACGCAAGUCUGAUGGAGCAACGCCGCGUGAGUGAAGAAGGCUUUCGGGUCGUAAAACUCUGUUGUUGGAGAAGAAUGGUCGGCAGAGUAACUGUUGUCGGCGUGACGGUAUCCAACCAGAAAGCCACGGCUAACUACGUGCCAGCAGCCGCGGUAAUACGUAGGUGGCAAGCGUUAUCCGGAUUUAUUGGGCGUAAAGCGAGCGCAGGCGGUUUUUUAAGUCUGAUGUGAAAGCCCUCGGCUUAACCGAGGAAGCGCAUCGGAAACUGGGAAACUUGAGUGCAGAAGAGGACAGUGGAACUCCAUGUGUAGCGGUGAAAUGCGUAGAUAUAUGGAAGAACACCAGUGGCGAAGGCGGCUGUCUGGUCUGUAACUGACGCUGAGGCUCGAAAGCAUGGGUAGCGAACAGGAUUAGAUACCCUGGUAGUCCAUGCCGUAAACGAUGAAUGCUAGGUGUUGGAGGGUUUCC